UUGCUAUGAAGUUAUACUGAUAUAGAGGAAAAUCCAGUUGUUGGCUUCUACAACCACAGUUAUGUUUUUCUAUGUAGACAAAUGCUAUGGUCUUUUACCAUUGCUGAAUUCCUUAAUGGAGUUGUUGUUAGAAAAUCAGAUUGGAAAGACAACUUGUUCUGUUGUUGGAUUCAUUCAUUUGGAGGUAGUCAUUUGGUGCGUUUAAGUGCUUUGAGUUUUGUAGAUACUUUCUCAGCUAUAAUUCCUUUUUCGCAUUUGGUGGUUGUCUUCACAGUAAACAUCCUGAUACUAAGGAAUCUAGAGUAGACAGGAUAAGUAAAAGAUAAUCCACAAAAGUCUAAAAGUAAAGCUUCUAAGGAGUACACAAAUGCUAGGUUAUGUUUUUUUUCUCAAGAGAAGGACAGCACAUUUAUUAUUAGCUGCUGAAACCCAACCGUUUUCUAAAACUUUCCAUAUUAAUGACAGCUCUUAAGAAUUAUUCCCAUUAAGAGGUUAGGAGUCAUUACACUUUAUUAUCUUCCAUGUCAACAAAUAUUAUUACGAACAAGUGAAUUAAAUAUUCAAGGCAUUUAACGCAUUUAUUUACAAAUCCCAAGAAUGAAUUUGUUCACGUAGUUUCUGCCUCAUCAAGCAUUAAAAAGCCUUAUACCAUAUGCCUUUCACAGCUUGACAAGUCUGUCAACCUAACUUCACCCAUGUGCAUGAAUAGGUAAAUCCACAAAGACACAAGGCAGGAAGUGCUUGGACCUCAAUUUGAGAAACACCGGCCUUAGGAAACCAUUCUUCCUUCGUGAAAAUAUGCACCCUUGGAAAAUAUGCACCAUAUCAGGUGGAGUCCACUUCCUCCAGACUUGGAGUAGAGACAGCAAAAAAAAAAAAAAAAAAAAAACAGUAAACAUUUGCUUUCAUUAAUAAAAGAUAAUAUAUGUAACAAGGGUUAAAUUUUAAGUCCUGAUAUUUGAAUCACUUCAAACUGAUCUUGGAAAAAAUGGACAUCUCAUACAAUUAGUUAUAGUGAUUGUCUGUGAGAGGUCCCAGUCUGAUAAAAUGGUGGUGGAAAUGAAUGAGAUUUUGAGAAUCACAUCUGGUCUUAAGAAAGUCCUCAUUGGUACCACAACCAUUCCUACCUAAAAGUGUACACAUGCACAAUGGCCAAGUGGAUUAUUUUCAUUUUCAAAGAAAGACAUUAUCUUCAGAGAUGAGACUGGACUCUGUACUAGGGCAUUCUCUUAUGUUCAUAGCAUGACCAACUAAAACAAAGAAAAUACCAUAAUGCUAGAGAGAUGGGAGACCCAAUAAUAAGUGUUUUCAGUCUAUUGUCAAUCAAAGGGAACUGUCCUGGUUUAAAUCUCAUGUUGCAAUUAUUUGACUUCUACUUUAAUUGUAUUAAGGAAACCUGUGGCUAUCUGACAAAUUUCAAGUGGAAAAAAAAAAUAAAUGGAUGUGUUCAUGGGAUUGUCACACCAUUCAGAUACUGGCGGUUAGGUAUACAACUGUAAAAUUAUAGAAAGUCAAUAAAAUUUUAAUGUAUAUGUUCAUAUUUCUAAAUGCUCAAGGAUAACUGGUAAUUUGGCUGAAUCUAAUAGAAAAACAUAAAUAUCCAUCCCUCAAUGAACUGCUUUUGUCAAAUUUGACUUUUCAUAUAAC
rnacentral:lncRNA from 10 species